rnacentral:tRNA from 2 species
GCCGAAGUAGCUCAGUUGGUAGAGCAAUACUUUCGUAAAGUAGAGGUCGCGAGUUCAACUCUCGCCUUCGGCUCCA